CAAGAUAAGAGUUGCAGAAAGUGGGUGGUAGUAUAAAUCAAGAUUGGUUAUGAGUUGAGAAUUUUUGAGUAAUAGGUAUAUGGGGACUAAGUAUUCUAUUCUUCAUACUUUUACAUGCCGUAAAUCCCCACUUAUCUGCAGGGAAUGUGUUCCAAGACCCCCAGUGGAUGCCUGAAACUGAGAAUAGUACUGGACCCUGUAUAUACUGUGUUUUUUCUUUCCUUAUUGAGAACUUUUAUGUUUUCACUUAAAGGAAGGACUUUACAGCUUCUCUUUCGCAUAUCCAAAUUGCCAGCAUCACCGCUCUUGCACUCCAAGCCAUUAUUAAGUAAAGUAAAGAACACAAACACUGUGAUACUGCUACACUUGAUCUGAUAACCAAGAAGUCUACUAAGUGACUAACAGCAGAGCAACUGGGAACCUAAUUCUGACCAAAAAGGAGGAAUUGUUUGGCUAAUUGGAAGUGACAGAAACCUUGGGAGAAAGCAACCGCAUACCAAGGAUAAUUAUAAGAAGAAGAGAAGACAUGGAGAAGAGGAGGGAGUAGUUGUGACCGUGGAGGCAGAGAAUGGAGUAAUGUGAUCAUAAAUCAAGGAAUGCUGACAGCCACUAAAGCUGGAGAAGGCCAAGGACAGAUAUUCAAUCCUCCCGUAGAAGUACAGCCCUGCUAAUGCAUUGAUUUUGGACUUCUGGC
rnacentral:lncRNA from 1 species